rnacentral:rRNA from 1 species
UACAGAGGGUGCAAGCGUUAAUCGGAAUUACUGGGCGUAAAGCGUGCGUAGACGGUUACAUAAGUCGGGUGUGAAAGCCCCGGGCUCAACCUGGGAAUUGCAUUCGAGACUGCGUAGCUAGGGUGCGGAAGAGGGAAGCGGAAUUUCCGGUGUAGCGGUGAAAUGCGUAGAUAUCGGAAGGAACACCAGUGGCGAAAGCGGCUCCCUGGUCCAGCACCGACGUCAGGCACGAAAGCGUGGGGAGCAAACAGG